UGCCAACCGGGUGUCUGCACUGAGUUCGGCAUCAAUAUGGUAACUUUCUGGGAGCAGGGGGCCACCAGGUUGCCUAAGGAUGAGUGAACUGGCCCAGAUCAGAGAGGGAGCAGGUCAGAACUCCCGCACUGACCGGUAAUGUGACUGUGCCUGGGCA
rnacentral:sRNA from 1 species